rnacentral:rRNA from 1 species
CAGCCGCCACGGUAACACCGAGGGUGCGAGCGUUAAUCGGAUUUACUGGGCGUAAAGCGUGCGUAGGCGGCUUCUUAAGUCGGAUGUGAAAUCCCUGAGCUUAACUUAGGAAUUGCAUUCGAUACUGGGAAGCUAGAGUAUGGGAGAGGAUGGUAGAAUUCCAGGUGUAGCGGUGAAAUGCGUAGAGAUCUGGAGGAAUACCGAUGGCGAAGGCAGCCAUCUGGCCUAAUACUGACGCUGAGGUACGAAAGCAUGGGGAGCAAACAGGAUUAGAUACCCCAGUAGUCCCUGUCUCUUAUAA